CUUGCUCUUCUUGGAUGAGUUGCGAACGGGUGAGUAACGCGUAGGUAACCUGCCUUGUAGCGGGGGAUAACUAUUGGAAACGAUAGCUAAUACCGCAUAACAAUGGAUGACUCAUGUCAUUUAUUUGAAAGGGGCAAUUGCUCCACUACAAGAUGGACCUGCGUUGUAUUAACUAGUAGGUGAGGUAACGGCUCACCUAUGCGACGAUACAUAACCGACCUGAGAGGGUGAUCGGCCACACUGGGACUGAGACACGGCCCAGACUCCUACGGGAGGCAGCAGUAGGGAAUCUUCUGCAAUGGGGGCAACCCUGACCGAUCAACGCCGCGUGAGUGAAGAAGGUUUUCGGAUCGUAAAACUCUGUUGUAAGUCAAGAACGAGUGUGAGAGUGGAAAGUUCACACUGUGACGGUAGCUUACCAGAAAGGGACGGCUAACUACGUGCCAGCAGCCGCGGUAAUACGUAGGUCCCGAGCGUUGUCCGGAUUUAUUGGGCGUAAAGCGAGCGCAGGCGGUUUGAUAAGUCUGAAGUUAAAGGCUGUGGCUCAACCAUAGUUCGCUUUGGAAACUGUCAAACUUGAGUGCAGAAGGGGAGAGUGGAAUUCCAUGUGUAGCGGUGAAAUGCGUAGAUAUAUGGAGGAACACCGGUGGCGAAAGCGGCUCUCUGGUCUGUAACUGAC
rnacentral:rRNA from 1 species